rnacentral:lncRNA from 1 species
CUAAGAUUGUAUUUGACUUCCUUGUGAUAAGAAUUAGCUUUCCAUCUUAAUCAGCAUUUGUGACUUGAUUCAGCAAAGCACUGAAGAUGAGCUUAAGGCAAUCUCUAUUCUGCAAAACUUUUAACUUUGAAUACAUGCUCCAGGAGCAGAAAUUGAAAUUAGAGUUAGGUACAUAGGCUUCAUAAAAUUGGGUUUCCACUUUAGGGAAAUCAGUCAUGAUCACUUGGUUUGUAGUGCAAAAAUUUCUCCAUUUUUGCUGAGGAGGGGACUGGCAUAGGAGUCACUGGAAACCAAGAUGAAUUGUGUGCAGCUAGCAGAAGAUUUCAGACCCCUGGUUAAAUAACAGCUACACAUAUGAGCAGGGAUAAAUUAAGUGAAAAACAAUCUCUUUAAGCGUUUGGAUCUAUACAAAGAAAAAUUCUGAAAGACUGACAUUUCAGUGUCAAAAUUCAAGCGAAAAUUUGUGAUUCAGAAACUUUGCAGUAGUCCAUAACCCUCAGCAUUCAUCUUAUGCCUGUAUGCCUGCAGACAGACAUUCCCUUCCUUAUUCAUUUUUCCAAGUUUCUGUUUUGGUAAAACUAUAAAAUAAGUGAUCAAAUAAGUGCAGACAGAUUUUGUGAUAUGCUCCAUCAUUCCCCCGAUAUCGCACUGUAGGACACAAUAAAGACAUAAGGAGUGAGAAUAAAGGAAUCAGGAAUAUCAAAGAUAAAGACAUUUCUUUAUUCCUUGUCAGGCGAAGAGGAAAGAUAGCAGAAUCAAAGCUGUGAAGGCUUCCCUGUUACUAGACCCUAAGGCCAGAAAUAUCACUAUCUCCCAGCCUCUGCAAACUGAAGAACCCAAUUGUCCUUAUCUACUCUCAAAAAUGUGCACUGUGAGGAAUGUCCUGCAAAUGGUAACUUCCUGACAUUACU